rnacentral:rRNA from 1 species
ACCCGCUGAACUUAAGCAUAUCAAUAAGCGGAGGAAAAGAAACCAACAGGGAUUGCCCUAGUAACGGCGAGUGAAGCGGCAACAGCUCAAAUUUGAAAUCUGGCUCUUUUAGAGUCCGAGUUGUAAUUUGCAGAGGGCGCUUUGGCUUUGGCAGCGGUCCAAGUUCCUUGGAACAGGACGUCACAGAGGGUGAGAAUCCCGUACGUGGUCGCUGGCUAUUGCCGUGUAAAGCCCCUUCGACGAGUCGAGUUGUUUGGGAAUGCAGCUCUAAAUGGGAGGUACAUUUCUUCUAAAGCUAAAUAUUGGCCAGAGACCGAUAGCGCACAAGUAGAGUGAUCGAAAGAUGAAAAGCACUUUGGAAAGAGAGUCAAACAGCACGUGAAAUUGUUGAAAGGGAAGCGCUUGCAGCCAGACUUGCUUACAGUUGCUCAUCCGGGCUUUUGCCCGGUGCACUCUUCUGUAGGCAGGCCAGCAUCAGUUUGGGCGGUAGGAUAAAGGUCUCUGUCACGUACCUCUCUUCGGGGAGGCCUUAUAGGGGAGACGACAUACUACCAGCCUGGACUGAGGUCCGCGCAUCUGCUAGGAUGCUGGCGUAAUGGUCUU